GAUGAACGCUGGCGGCGUGCCUAAUACAUGCAAGUCGAGCGAACAGACGAGGAGCUUGCUCCUCUGACGUUAGCGGCGGACGGGUGAGUAACACGUGGAUAACCUACCUAUAAGACUGGGAUAACUUCGGGAAACCGGAGCUAAUACCGGAUAAUAUAUUGAACCGCAUGGUUCAAUAGUGAAAGACGGUUUUGCUGUCACUUAUAGAUGGAUCCGCACCGCAUUAGCUAGUUGGUAAGGUAACGGCUUACCAAGGCGACGAUGCGUAGCCGACCUGAGAGGGUGAUCGGCCACACUGGAACUGAGACACGGUCCAGACUCCUACGGGAGGCAGCAGUAGGGAAUCUUCCGCAAUGGGCGAAAGCCUGACGGAGCAACGCCGCGUGAGUGAUGAAGGUCUUCGGAUCGUAAAACUCUGUUAUUAGGGAAGAACAAAUGUGUAAGUAACUAUGCACGUCUUGACGGCACCUAAUCAGAAAGCCACGGCUAACUACGUG
rnacentral:rRNA from 1 species